rnacentral:rRNA from 1 species
GACGAACGCUGGCGGCGUGCUUAACACAUGCAAGUCGAACGGAAAGGCCCUGCUUUUGUGGGGUGCUCGAUUGGCGAACGGGUGAGUAACACGUGAGUAACCUGCCCUUGACUUUGGGAUAACUUCAGGAAACUUGGGCUAAUACCUGAUAGGAUCUCCUGCUGCAUGUUGUGGUUUGGAAAGUUUCGGCGGUUGGGGAUGGACUCGCGGCUUAUCAGCUUGUUGUUGGGGUAGUGGCUUACCAAGGCUUUGACGGGUAGCCGGCCUGAGAGGGUGACCGGCGAAAUUGGGACUGAGAGACGGCCCAGACUCCUACGGGAGGCAGCAGUGGGGAAUAUUGCACAAUGGGCGGAAGCCUGAUGAAGCAACGCCGCGUGCGGGAUGACGGCCUUCGGGUUGUAAACCGAUUUCGCCUGUGACGAAGCGUGAGUGACGGUAAUGGGUAAAGAAGCACCGGCUAACUACGUG